rnacentral:rRNA from 1 species
GACGAACGCUGGCGGCGUGCUUAACACAUGCAAGUCGAACGGAAAGACCCUGCUUUUGUGGCGUGCUCGAUUGGCGAACGGGUGUGUAACACGUGAGUAACCUCCCCUUGACAUUCUGAUAACUUCACGAAAAUGGGGCUCAUACCGGAUAGGAGCUCCUGCUGCAUGGUGGUUGUUGGAAAGUUUCGGCUGUUGGGGAUAGACUCGCGGCUUAUCCGCUUGUUGGUCGGGUUGUGGCGUACGAAGGCUAUGACGGGUAGCCGGCCUGAGAGGGUGGCCGGCGACAUUGGGCCUGAGAUACGGACCAGACUCGUACGGGAGGCAGCGGUGGAGAAUAUUGCACAAUGGGCGGGAGCGUGAUGUGAAGACGCCGCGUUCGGGAAGCCGGGCUUCGGGUUGUGAACCGCUUUCGCCUGAGAUGAGGAGUGAGUGACGGUAACUGGUAAAGAAGCCCCGGCUAACUACGUG